rnacentral:rRNA from 1 species
UACGGAGGGGGCCAGCGUUGUUCGGAAUUAUUGGGCGUAAAGGGCUCGUAGGCGGUCUGUCGCGUCGAAAGUGAAAACUCAGGGCUUAACCCUGAGCCUGCUUCCGAUACGGGCAGACUAGAGGUAUGCAGGGGAGAACGGAAUUCCUGGUGUAGCGGUGAAAUGCGCAGAUAUCAGGAGGAACACCGGUGGCGAAGGCGGUUCUCUGGGCAUUACCUGACGCUGAGGAGCGAAAGUGUGGGGAGCGAACAGG